rnacentral:tRNA from 7 species
GCCGCUUUAGCUCAGGGGUAGAGCAACCGCCUUGUAAGCGGUAGGUCGUCAGUUCGAAUCCGACAAGCGGCACCA